UUCAAUAUCUAGGGUAGGGAUCACAUAUACACCUUGAUACUGUUUUCUAAUUUGCCAACUAAAUAUUGGUGUAAAACUGAAUGAAAACAGUAUGUACAGUGAAGGUUGAGGGGAAUAAAAGCAUUCCCACAAAGCAAGCUGUCACACUUGCCAUUUAAAAGAAGCUUCGAUGUCAAGGAAUGCAAUGGUAACUGCAGCUACUGUUCAUCAGGUGCUAUCAACAGAAAUUAGCAGUUAUUGCUUCUCUGAGACAUUUGCAUUUCAGCUUCACAAAGGGAUGCGCGGUGUGGUCCUGUUGUAGCUAGUUGUGACAAUUUUUUCAUUUUUCUUUUUGGGCUGCAAAACUUGAUGGUCAUGGCAUGGGGUCCCGCACACAACUAAGCUUUUUUCAAUUCCUGCCCCAUCCGGCCACACCCUUCAAGCACACUUCAUUUGCUCCUUUUGUUAUAAAUGUGUGACAAUGGACUGUCAGAAAUUUGCAGAUGGGUGACCCAGAAUUCUCCAUUUUAAGCUCGCUCUCUCUCUCUCUCUCUCUCCCUUCCUGAUCUUUCUUUCUGAUCUUUCUCUCCUUGCUGGGCGAGCUAUGAGGGUUAUAGCAUGAGAAGGUGUGUGCUGAGCAAGAUGGAGAAGCAGGGCACGUGCAUUACUAACUCAUGCGUUCAGUUCACUGAGGCCAACGCAUUAAUUUCUAGCUUUCAGCUAGCAGUUCACUCACUACUCACUACUACUACCUUCGGGAAUUAGCUAAGCUGCAGUGAGUUAGUUUUUCAUGUGCCCCUCUUCCCCAUCAUGACCACUGCACCUUGACCUUGUGUACUUUGAAGAGGAUUAAUCUGGGUGGUUAUCAUCAAAAUAAACAAUAGAGAAAGCUCUUAUCUCCUUGUUUUGAUUCUAAACAGUCACAGCAAGCAGCUAAAAUCGACCGGAAAAGAGCCCGAUGUUCAUCAGGACCUAAAUUGCAGGAGUAUAACCUCAAGGAGGGGAGGGCUGAUGUCUCUAGCAGCCAGCAAGCUACUUCGCAGUAAAAACUUUUCCUUAGACGAUGUUUUGGAACAAGACGUGUGGCACCAAAUGCUUUUUAAAAUGCUUUAUUUUAAACGUUUCUUCCAAAGGCAAGCAAGAAAUUGCAUCCAACAAACAUUUCAGUAUUUUAUAAUAGGCAAACCACUUCAACUUCCAGCUGCAA